GAUGAACGCUAGCGGCAGGCAUAAUACAUGCAAGACGAACGGUAAGUUUGGUAGCAAUACUGAACCUAGAGUGUCGUACGGGUGCGUAACACGUAUGCAACCUACCUUUUACAGGAGUAUAGCUCCCGAAAGGGGAUUAACCCUCCAUAAUAUCAUUGGAUGGCAUCAUUUGAUGAUUAAAACUGAGGUGGUAAAAGAUGGGCAUGCGUCUGAUUAGUUAGUUGGCAGUGUAACGGACUACCAAGACGAUGAUCAGUAGGGGACCUGAGAGGGUGGUCCCCCACACUGGCACUGAGAUACGGGCCAGACUCCUACGGGAGGCAGCAGUAGGGAAUAUUGGACAAUGGGGUGAGAGCCUGAUCCAGCCAUGCCGCGUGCAGGAAGAAGGCGUUAUGCGUUGUAAACUGCUUUUGCCAGGGGAUAAAAACGGGUUCUGCGGAACUAAUUGAAGGUACCUGGUGAAUAAGCCACGGCUAACUACGUGCCAGCAGCCGCGGUAAU
rnacentral:rRNA from 1 species